rnacentral:rRNA from 1 species
GGGCGUAAAGCGAGCGUAGGUGGCUUGAUAAGUCAGAUGUGAAAUUCCCCGGGGCUUAACCUGGGAACUGCAUCUGAAACUGUUAGGCUAGAGUAGGUGAGAGGGAAGUAGAAUUUCAGGUGUAGCGGUGAAAUGCGUAGAGAUCUGAAGGAAUACCGAUGGCGAAGGCAGCUUCCUGGCAUCAUACUGACACUGAGGCUCGAAAGCGUGGGUAGCAAACAGGAUUAGAUACCCUGGUAGUCCACGCCGUAAACGAUGUCUACUAGUCGUUGGGUCCCUUGAGGACUUAGUGACGCAGCUAACGCAAUAAGUAGACCGCCUGGGGAGUACGGCCGCAAGGUUAAAACUCAAAUGAAUUGACGGGGGCCCGCACAAGCGGUGGAGCAUGUGGUUUAAUUCGAUGCAACGCGAAGAACCUUACCUGGUCUUGACAUAUCUAGAAUCCUGCAGAGAUGCGGGAGUGCCUUCGGGAAUUAGAAUACAGGUGCUGCAUGGCUGUCGUCAGCUCGUGUCGUGAGAUGUUGGGUUAAGUCCCGCAACGAGCGCAACCCUUGUCCUUAGUUACCAGCGGGUUAAGCCGGGAACUCUAAGGAUACUGCCAGUGACAAACUGGAGGAAGGCGGGGACGACGUCAAGUCAUCAUGGCCCUUACGACCAGGGCUACACACGUGCUACAAUGGUAGGUACAGAGGGCAGCUACACAGCGAUGUGAUGCGAAUCUCAAAAAGCCUAUCGUAGUCCAGAUUGGAGUCUGCAACUCGACUCCAUGAAGUAGGAAUCGCUAGUAAUCGCGGAUCAGAAUGCCGCGGUGAAUACGUUCCCGGGCCUUGUACACACCGCCCGUCACACCAUGGGAGUUGAUUGCACCAGAAGUGGAUAGCUUAACCCGUAAGGGGGAGGCGUCCCCCGCGGGGUGGC